GGUUCCAUAGUAUAAUUGGAUAGUACAUCCGCCUCCUAAGCGGCUAAUCCCGGUUCGACCCCGGGUGGGACCA
rnacentral:tRNA from 1 species